AAGAAUACAACAUAACAUUUCU
rnacentral:snRNA from 1 species